UAGAGUUUGAUCCUGGCUCAGAGCGAACGCUGGCGGCAGGCUUAACACAUGCAAGUCGAACGGGCACCUUCGGGUGUCAGUGGCAGACGGGUGAGUAACACGUGGGAACGUACCCUUCGGUUCGGAAUAACUCAGGGAAACUUGAGCUAAUACCGGAUACGCCCUUUUGGGGAAAGGUUUACUGCCGAAGGAUCGGCCCGCGUCUGAUUAGCUUGUUGGUGGGGUAACGGCCUACCAAGGCGACGAUCAGUAGCUGGUCUGAGAGGAUGAUCAGCCACACUGGGACUGAGACACGGCCCAGACUCCUACGGGAGGCAGCAGUGGGGAAUAUUGGACAAUGGGCGCAAGCCUGAUCCAGCCAUGCCGCGUGAGUGAUGAAGGCCUUAGGGUUGUAAAGCUCUUUUGUCCGGGACGAUAAUGACGGUACCGGAAGAAUAAGCCCCGGCUAACUUCGUGCCAGCAGCCGCGGUAAUACGAAGGGGGCUAGCGUUGCUCGGAAUCACUGGGCGUAAAGGGCGCGUAGGCGGCCGAUUAAGUCGGGGGUGAAAGCCUGUGGCUCAACCACAGAAUUGCCUUCGAUACUGGUUGGCUUGAGACCGGAAGAGGACAGCGGAACUGCGAGUGUAGAGGUGAAAUUCGUAGAUAUUCGCAAGAACACCAGUGGCGAAGGCGGCUGUCUGGUCCGGUUCUGACGCUGAGGCGCGAAAGCGUGGGGAGCAAACAGGAUUAGNUACCCUGGUAGUCCACGCCGUAAACGAUNAAUGCCAGCCGUUGGCNNGCUUGCAGNUCA
rnacentral:rRNA from 1 species